UACGAAGGGGGCUAGCGUUGUUCGGAAUUACUGGGCGUAAAGCGCGCGCAGGCGGUCCUUUAAGUCAGGGGUGAAAGCCCAGAGCUCAACUCUGGAACUGCCUUUGAAACUAGAGGACUUGGGUACGGGAGAGGUGAGUGGAAUUCCACGUGUAGCGGUGAAAUGCGUAGAGAUGUGGAGGAACACCGAUGGCGAAGGCAGCCUUCUGGGCCAACACUGACGCUCAUGCACGAAAGCGUGGGGAGCAAACAGG
rnacentral:rRNA from 1 species